rnacentral:rRNA from 1 species
GGUUAAUAACCUUGUCGAUUGACGUUACCCGCAGAAGAAGCACCGGCUAACUCCGUGCCAGCAGCCGCGGUAAUACGGAGGGUGCAAGCGUUAAUCGGAAUUACUGGGCGUAAAGCGCACGCAGGCGGUCUGUCAAGUCGGAUGUGAAAUCCCCGGGCUCAACCUGGGAACUGCAUUCGAAACUGGCAGGCUAGAGUCUUGUAGAGGGGGGUAGAAUUCCAGGUGUAGCGGUGAAAUGCGUAGAGAUCUGGAGGAAUACCGGUGGCGAAGGCGGCCCCCUGGACAAAGACUGA